rnacentral:rRNA from 1 species
GACGAACGCUGGCGGCGUGCCUAAUACAUGCAAGUUGAGCGCUGAAGGUUGGUACUUGUACCAACUGGAUGAGCAGCGAACGGGUGAGUAACGCGUGGGGAAUCUGCCUUUGAGCGGGGGACAACAUUUGGAAACGAAUGCUAAUACCGCAUAAAAACUUUAAACACAAGUUUUAAGUUUGAAAGAUGCAAUUGCAUCACUCAAAGAUGAUCCCGCGUUGUAUUAGCUAGUUGGUGAGGUAAAGGCUCACCAAGGCGAUGAUACAUAGCCGACCUGAGAGGGCGAUCGGCCACAUUGGGACUGAGACACGGCCCAAACUCCUACGGGAGGCAGCAGUAGGGAAUCUUCGGCAAUGGACGAAAGUCUGACCGAGCAACGCCGCGUGAGUGAAGAAGGUUUUCGGAUCGUAAAACUCGGUUGGUAGAGAAGAACGUUGGUGAGAGUGGAAAGCUCAUCAAGUGACGGUAACUACCCAGAAAGGGACGGCUAACUACGUG